GGGCCCGUAGCUCAGCGGCAGAGCAGUUGCCUCUUAAGCAAUUGGCCGGAGGUUCGAAUCCUCCCGGGCUCA
rnacentral:tRNA from 1 species